rnacentral:lncRNA from 1 species
CACAUUCAAAUCCUCAAACUUGUUAACUAGACUAGAUAGGGCGUCAAAUUACUGUCUUUUAGAAUAAAUUGUCCGCAUAGCAACUAACUAUACAUCUGACAUAUGGGGCUCACAUGUCCUCUCUAUCUGAUUUUCUUCUUCACUAAUGUGCAACUACCUAGGUCCACCACCUCCGGAGCUACGUACACUCCUCCAGUCGUGAUGCCACAUCCGCUAGGGUAAUCGUGCAUCUCUCUCUCUAACCACUGCUACCGUUGCUAAUGAAGGCAAAAGAGUCUAUUGCAUUAGUAUCCUCCCCAACGACCUCCUUAACCUCCAUGUCAAUGACGUCGUGCAUCUCUCUCCGCCACGCUCUCUAUAUACUACCUAUGCCACCCUGCUACGUCGGAACACCCAUCAAACAUAGCACUAGCAACUAGAUCCGUUGCCUAGGUGCUCGAUCUUUACCUUGGUGUAUAUACCACAAUCAACUAUUAAUUCCCCACCACCUACACCAUGGUAAGUUGCAGUUUCAUAUGAGCCAGUGCAAAUACCGCACAGCCCCAUCACUCUAACCUCCCAUGUUAGUUCGUGCAACUACUACGAAGAGGAGACAAAAUACACCAUAUUGAAAUCAUGUAUUAU